AUUUGGAAUCAAUGUCCUCAUAACGAGGAGUGACCAAGGUUACUGGCCGUGUCCCAGUAGAAUAAUUACAUCCCUUUACGUAUACAUCAUAAUGUCUUUUUUAGGGUCCUUUCGGGUGGUCUCUGUAAACCCGACAGUGGUCAUUAAUAAGGAACAUUUCUGGUCUCCAGAUGUGUCAUGAGAUGUACCUUCUCUGCAUCUGACUCGGGAUCUUCAUGUAUCUAGUUAAGUGGUGUUGAUUGCUUGAACUUGUUUUAUCAUAAGGUGUUUUUCAGGUAUUCGGGUAGAAAUGAUAAUAGUGUUUUUACCAAUUUUAGCAACUAUAUUACCUUUAUUAUAUUUAUGAAGAAAUUUCGGUUUAAUCAUGUCAAUGUUGAGCGAUCCAUGGGUAUUCAUGUAAGAAAUAUGGAGUUUGGGGUCACCUAAGUUACCAUGGAUUUUUGCAGAGAAACAAUCAAAACAUGGUGGUGUCUGACAGUGGCGUGGAUUCCAGGUAGAGUUGAUGGGUCCUGAAGUGAAGGAAGUGACAAGGUAAUGUGUAGUGUCAUCUUAGCAAAGGUAUUGUUUAGACACAUUUAUCACAAUUUGUUUUUCAGGUUUCUGUUAAGAAAUCAUGGUAAACCUGAUAAUGAUCAAUAAUGGCACUUUGCUUUUAUCUGGCUAAGUGAUGAUGUGAGUCUUUGGUCCCCUACAGAUCAUCUCCCCAUCUGAUAUGUAGGUUUGUGUGGAUGGUUUACCUAACUUUUCUGUUAGUAUAGUCUGUUAGUAUGUUUUUUUGUUUGUUUGUUUGUUUUUACAGCUAUUCUGUUAAGAAACAGUGUUGUCCCAAACAAUGCUGAUAACCACUUUAGAGUUUAGAUAUAAUGUUUGUUUGACCUUAGUGGUGAUGAACGGGUGUCCAGGUAAGUUGUCCUACUAUUCCACACCAACCAAGAGAGUUUUACAGGUGCUCAGACAAGAGAUGAUCAUUUCCUUAACAAUGAGGUUGACCUUGACAUUCUUCCUGGAUCCACAUAGUAUUGAUGGAUCCCCUGAUGAUAGAAAUAACCAGAAUUAAUUAGAGGUAUCCUUUAGGCCAAACAACUUUUUCCUUAAACACCCUUGUCAAAUGUGUUCUUACCAGGUUAUAUUAAUGAUGACAUUACAGCGAACCUAGUAAUGGUCAUUAAUGGCACCCUGCUAGUAUUGAGGAUCUUACACCGCAAUAGAGACCAACUGGUCUUCAGAUGUCAAAGUAAGCAAGGAUGAUGUCCCAAACCCCAAACACAUUGAUAGCAUGUUUUUUUUCCUGCAGAUACACUGUUGAAGUGUUCGUUAGUGUAAAGGUAUGAGAUGUCAUAUUAAUUCAUUAGACCUGUGUAUUUUCAGAUAGGUGAUAAUGAAUGAUAUUUUGAAGACUCUUUAUAUUUUAACUUAUAGUUAACUGUAUUAACUAUAUUUUUGGCUUGUAUGCAGUAUGAUAUUAAUUUGUCCUUUACAAUGCUACUAAGCAUGAUAUUUUCUCAUAUUCAUGUUCCAAAAUACCGUUUUAUCCACUCCUAGAGAUAAAAGGAUAUAUAGAUAUAUCCUUUCAUACUGUUCAUCACCACAGUGCAGACCAUGGAAUUUCGACAUAGCUCUUCAAGAGAAGAAGGUAUCUAUCACCUACUAGGGUUUAGUCCUAGACUUCUACAAGGAUGCAGGAGAUGGUAAUGGGUCUCACAGUUAUGCAAUGGACCAGGGCAUCUGAAGGUGGACACUAGAAUAAUACAUAUAUCAAAUGCAUCGUCUAAUUAUGUUUUCAGGUUCAUGUCAAGACGUGAUGAUGAGCCUAUUAAUGUAGUUCACGUUGCUGAUAUCUAGGCAAGUGAUGGUGUGGGCCUAUCCCGCAUCACAGACCAUCUCUUUUUCGUGUACAUAGGUAAGUGAAGAUGCUCGCAUUCCCAGCAAUUCUUGUUAGCAUGAUUUGAUUGCAGGUAAGAAAUGCUAAGAGUCCAUACUAAUUCCAGUAGCCAUGACUUUAUGCUUUGUAUAUUUUAGUGGAAAUGUGUUCAAUCUUGCAAGUAUUGAAGAGUCGGUCAUAUCCAGGUAGUUGUCGUAAAGUCUCCCCACUGUUAUAAUCAUUGGAUUUUUGCUGGUAUCCAGUUAAGUGACACUAAUCUCUUCUGACAGCAGUGCUGACCUUGAAUGGAUGCAGAGAUCCAGGUAGAGAUGAUGUGUUCCAUAAUAACAGAGGCAAACAAGAUCAGGUGCCAGUGUCCUGAUAGAACAAGUUGUGCCUUAAACACACUUGUUGUGUGUAUUUCUUGGAGAACAGGGUGAGCCUAGCAGUGAUGACUAAUAUCUUUCUACUAACCAGGAAAAUGUGAAAGUGGGUCUUACCAAGGUGCCACAAUGCAGACCAUCGAACUUCACUGUCUAGGUGAGUGAGAAUGGUGUCCCUAACAUUUGUGUUCCUGUCUUUUUUUGCAGGCGUGAGGUUCAGAGAUGAUGUGAUAUUCGCUGAUUAAAGACAUUCUUAUAUACAGAUGGCUACAUAACUCAUGAUUUUAGUCUUUUAUGUUCACUUUGUUUUUGACAUGUAAUCAGGAAUUUAAUUUUCCCUAAGAACUCUAGUCAGAAGGAGAUUUUUUCGUAUUUUGUGUAAAGGUAAAUUGUAUCAAGCAUCGUAGUGAUGGACAGGUUUGCAGAGGUGACAUCGCUAGUGUCAAGGUCAGUGAUGAUGGAGCCUAAACCAGAGCACAGGCCAUCGGAUCUCCAGGUAUCUGAGUAAGUGAUGAUGUUUAUUCUUAUUACCACAAUUUUUUUUCAGGCAUCAGGGUGAAAAAUAAUAGAGUCCUUAUCAAUCUAGAAAACAAUAGUUUUCAUUUUAUAUUUUAGAAAGAGUUGAGCACUCUUUGGUGUUGAGUGAUUGCACAUAUGCAGAUAUUUAAUAUGGUUUUCCCACUACAGUACUGCCAUAGUUUUGUUUUCUUUUUAAACAGUUGUCCAGUCAAGAAACUCUGGCUUCCCAACCUUGGUGUUGACCUUGGAUUAGUGAAAGUAUCCAGGUAGAGUUGAUGUGUCUCAUAAUGGUGAUGUGAUCAAGGUGUCUGGACAGAAAGGAUACAUCUUGUGUAUUUUCCAGGUUCCUGUCCAGAUAUCACUCUGAAACAAGGAUUGAUGUUAAUGGUGGCCACUGUUGGGGUCCAGGUUCCUGUCAAGAGAGAGACAUUCUGGUGGUUGUUCUCUGGGGACAUUUCUGUGCCCAGGUAUGUAAUGAUGUGCACCUUCCCCUAACAGACAUCUCAUCUUCUCAUAUCUAGGUCAGUGUUAGGAUUGAAUAAACUUAUUUACCAUGUGUUUUAUUUUCAAGAAGUCAGGUAAGAAAUCAUAGUAUGUUUACCAGUUGUAGCAAUCCUGAUAUGCUACUGUCUGUGAUCUUAGAGAAAAUGUAUGCUUAGUCAUGGGAGUGUUGAGUGGCUGGUGGGUAUCCACACCAUGACAAUGGAAUUGUGUGGUACACUAGUAACCAUGGUGCUUUGGCAAGUAAGCUGGGAAGAGAUGAUGCUAUGUCGAAAUUUGGCAUAGAUCUUGGAGUCCUACAUGAAUCCAGGGAGAACCGAUGGGUCCUGCAGUGAUGGCCACCCAUAAGGCUGUUUGAAAUUUCCUGGUAGAAAAGGUACGUCCAUAGACAUAUCUGUCACAAAGGGCUUUUUACAGUCUGGUCAAGAAGUCAUGGUGAAUCUCAAAAUGAUCUUGAAUGGAACUUUGCUUCUCUCCAGAUAAGUGUUGCUAUGGCAUUUAGCACCUAUAAUAUGAUCUUCAGAUAUGUAGGUCUGAGGGAGGGUGUUCCUAAUUAUUCUGUUACCAUCUUGUUUUAUUUAAGCAGCUAUUCAUUUAAGAAGUGGCAUUUUCCAUCACAACCUUGUAGAUCAACUAUAGUUCAGUAAAACUUUAAAAAAUGGGGAAAAAAAAGAAAUUGACGUAGUCACAACUAGUGCUUGUAAGUAUUUGCCUUUUUUUUUUUUUUUUAAAGAUUUUUGAUAUAGUGUGUAUUUAAACUUAGUAGUAACAGAGGGUUAUUCAGGUCCAGGUAAUUUAUUCUACUUUUGCAGUGUUAACCAUGACAUUUCUACAGAUUCUCCUAGAAGAGAUGAUACUGUGCCUCACAAUGGUGUUGACCUUAAAGUUCUUCCAAGGUUCAUAUAGUGCAUACGCUCCUCUAAUGAUGGAAGCAAGCAAGAUUAUCUUCAAAGGUACUUAUUUGGCAGAUAAAUAAGAAUGUCCUUUAACACAGUUGUCUAAUGCAUUUCUCAAGGUUCUAGUCAGCAUCGUGAAUAUAAUUAACCAAAUAAUAGUUGUCAGUGGGACCUUGUUAGAAACCAGGUUGGUGAAAAGGUGGCUUCCAGCCCAGUACAGAUCAUUAGAUGUUCAGUUAUCGAGCACGUAAGAAUGGUGUCUAACACAGUGCACCACACUUUUUUGUAGGUUUCCCAUUACUUUCUUUGUCUAGUGUACAGGUAUGAGAUGAUGUGACAUUAAUUCAUUAGAUACCAUCUUUUCUUCAGAUACGUAGGUAGUGAUGUUGACCUUGAAGAUCUUUCAAGAUCCACAGAGUAUCAAGGAUUCCCCUGAUGAUAGAAAAAUAACCAGAAGUAAUUACGUGUAUUCUUCAGGUAAAACAUUUUUUUCCUUAAAACCCUUGUCAGUUGUGUUCUUACAUGUUAUAGUAGUGAUGACCCUAUAGCAGACCUAGGAAUGGUCAUCAAUGGGACCCUGCUAGUAACCAGGUAAGUGAUAUUGAGGGUCUUGCAGCCCAGUAUAGACCAUCUGGUCUUCAGAGAUGUCUGUGUAAGUGAGGAUGAUGUCCCCAACACCAGACACAGUGAUACUGUGUUUUUUCCUGCAGGUACCCUGUUAAAGUGUUUGCUAGUAUGAAGGUAUUUUCAGAUAAAUAAGGAAUAAAUGAUAUUUUGCAGACACUUUAUAGUUUAUCUUACACUUAACUAUAUUAACUAUAUUUUUGGCUUGUAUGCAGUAAAGCUAUUAAUCUGUCAUUAACAUACUCGUAAGCAUGAUAUUUUCCUACAUUCGAGUUCCAAAAUACCAUUUUACCCACCUCUACUGACAAAAGGAUAUGCAGAUAUCCAGGAAAUUUAUCAUACUGUUCAUCACCGCAAUAUAGACCGUAGAAUUUCGAGGUAGCCUUUCAAGAGAAGAAGGCAUCUCUUACUAAGAUUUAGUCCAGGUAAUGGCGAUGAGUCUCACAGUUAUGCAGUGGAACAAAGGGAUCUGAAGGUGGACACUAGAAUGAUAUGUACUUCAAGCACAUCCUCUAAAUGCGUCUUCGGGUUCGUGAUGGUAAGCAUCUCAAUGUAGUUAAAGUUGCUGGUAUCUAGGUGAGUGAUGGUGUGGGCCUAACCCACAUCAUAGACCAUCUCUGCCUCAUGUAUGUGGGUAAGUGAAUAUGCUUGCCUUCCUAACACUUCUUCUUAAAAAGAUUUUUUUGCAGGUAUUCAGCUGAGAAAUACUAAGAGUUCAUACUAAUUCCAAUAACCAUGAGUUUACGCUUUGUGUAUUUUAGUGAAAAUAUGUUUUAUCUUGUAAGUAUUGAGGAGUCAGUUAUGUUCCCAGUAGUUGUUGUGAAGUCUCCUCACUGUUGUAACCAUUGGAUUUUUACAGGAAUCCAGGAAAGUGAUACUGAUCUCUUCUGACAGCAGUGUUGACCUCGAAUGAAUGCAGAGAUCCAGGUAGCAAUGAUGUGUUCCAUGAUAACGGAGGUGCACACGGUUAGAUGCAGGUGUCCUGGUAGAACAGUGUUUGUCUUACACAGAUUUGUUGCAUGUAUUUCUUCAGGAUCCUGUUAAGACAACAGGGUAAACCUAGCAGUGUGAUGACUAACAAAAGCUUUCUAGUAACCAGGUAAGUGUGAAAGUGGGUCUCACCACAGUGCACACCAUCUGAACUUCAGGGUCUAGGUGAAUGAGGAUGGUGUCCCUAAUAUUUGUGUUCAUGUCUUCUUUUUGCAGGUGUCAGGUUCAGAUCUUUCCUUGUCACACAAGGAUGAGAUGAGGGGAUAUUCACUAAUUAAAGACAUUGUUAUAUUCCGAUGGCUACGUGAUUCAUGAUCAGUCUUUUAUAUUUACUUUGUUUUUGGCAUGUUAUCAGAUUUGGCUUUCCAACAUUGGUAUUGACCUUGAAUUACUGCAAGUAACCAGGUAGAGUUGAUGUGUCUCAUAAUGGUGACGUGACCAAGAUGUGUAGGUAGAAAGGACACAUUUCCUAUCUUUUACAGGUUUGUGUCCACACAUCACUCUGAACUGAGCAUUAAUGUUAACAGGGGACACGGUCGGGGUCCAGGUUUGUGAUGAUUGUGACCCUGUCACUUGUUACCAUGGCUUCUCUGCAGGUAUUCAGGUAAUGGUUGAUUCCUUACCAAUUCUUAAUACCAUGAACUUUCAGUUUUCAUGCUUUAGAGAAUAUCUUUAACUCUGUGACUCAUGAGCAAUUACACAUAGCAGGUAUUGAUUAUGAUUGCUCAAGCACAGUAGUGAUCAUGGAAUUUCUGCAGGUAUCUUGUAAAGAAGUGUUAUUUCCUGACAAGGGUCAUGCCCUAGGAGAACUGCAAAUAUUCAAGUAGAGUUGAUCAUAAUGCUGUCAAUGACGGAGCUUGUUUGCAAGUGUCCUAGUAGAGUAAGCUAUGUCCUUUUAUACGUGUAUCAUAAUGUGCUUUUCAGGUUCUGCCAAGAGAUGAAUAUUCAUUCUGAUGGUCAUUCUCUGGGGACAUUUCUUUGUCUGGGUAGGUAAUGAUGUGCACCUUUCCCAGCAGACAUUGCAUCUUCUCAUAUCUAGGUCUCUGUUCGGAUUGACUAAAUUUACUUAUCAUGUGGAUUUUUUCAGGUAAUCAGAUAAGAAAUGAUAGUAUUUUUACCAAUGGUAGCAAUCCUGAUAUGCUGCUGUUUGCAAUUUUAGAAAAAAAAAUGUAUGCUUACUCAUGGGAGUGUUCAUUGGCUCUUGAAUAUCCACAUCAUGAUGGUGGAAUUGUGUGGCACAGCAGUAACCAUGGUGCUUUUGCCAGGGGGCUGGGAGGAGAUGCUGGCGUGUCGAACUUUGGCAUAAAGCUUGGAGUCCUGCAUGAAGCCAGAGAGAACCGAUGGGUCCUGCAGUGAUGGCUACACACAGGGUUAUUUGAAGAGUCCUAGUAGAAAUUGUGCCUCCAUACACAUAACUGUCACAAGGGGCUCUUUGCAUUCUAGUCAAGAAAUCACAGUGAAUCUGAAAAUGAUCCUGAAUAGGCCUUUGAUGUCUCCAGGUAAGAGAUGCUGUGGGGCCUUAGCACCUACAAUCCGUUAUUCAGAUAUGUAGGUAUGUGUGGAGGCUGUUCCUAACUAUGCUGUUACCAUGUUGUUUUUUUCAAACAGAUAUUCAUUUCAGAAAUUAAUCACAAACUUGUCAGAUUCCCUGUUGUGGCUCAGUGGUAAUGAACCUGACUAGUAUACAUGAGGACUCAUGUUCGGUCCCUGGCCUCGCUCAGUGGGUUAAGGAUCCGGCGUUGCUAUGGUGAGCUACAGUGUAGGUCGCAGACAUGGCUCGGAUCUGUCAUUGCUGUGGCUGUGGCUUAGGCUGGUGGCUGUAGCUCCAGUUUGAGCCCUAGCCUGAGAACUAUGCUGUGGUUGUGGACCUAAAAAGACCAAGAAAAAAAAA
rnacentral:lncRNA from 1 species